ACAGAACUCUCUUUUGGCCUGCUGCCAUUCACGUUAGAUGUGACUUGCUCCUCCUUGCCUCCUGCCAUGAUUGUGAGGCCUCCCAAGCCAUGUGGAACUAUGGGAGUUUACCUGCACAAAACUCUUUUUUUGCCUGCUACCAUCCACGUUAGAUAUGACUUGCUCCUCCUUGCCUUCCAUCAUGAUUGUGAGGCCUGCCCAGACAUGUGGAACUCUGAUAUAAGUCUUUUGAGGUACAGCCUGGCACAAAAAGGAUGAGAUUUGUGGGCAGAAUUUUGGAAGAAUAUCUCCCGAGAGAACAUUCAGGACAGAGCCCUACAUCUCCCCGAGAAGAGGUGAAAGAGACUGCUCCUAUCUGCUUCUGCAUCAAACUUCAGGCUCAAGACCUGUCCAGAAAAAAAAAUGUCUUCUUUCAGGGAUGAACUGCUGUCCUCAUCAGACGCCUUAUUUUGUUUAGAAUUCAAGCUCACUUGACAGGUUAUUGUGAAGAUUAAAUGAAUUAAUACAUGUGAAGCAACUGUAACAACUCUUGACAUGCGUGGGCUGGACUUCCAGAAGAAACGUUGUCAGAACUCUGCCCAACUGAAAACAAGCCUACUAAAAAUAAAUAAAUAAAUAAAAUUUUAAAAAAUUGAUUAAUUAAAA
rnacentral:lncRNA from 1 species